AUGGGAACGACGAACGCACAAACCAAUUCGGGACAUGCGAGCGACGAGGCACACUCGAGGGGAGGCUCGAUCGACACGUUCUUCGCCGAGACGGUGAUCCUCCUGACCGGCGCUACCGGCUUCCUCGGGAAGGCCCUUCUGGAGAAGUUGCUGCGCUCGUGUCCCCGCGUGGCCACGAUUUUCAUUCUGAUCCGUCCGAAGAAGGACCAGUCCGUCGAAGAGCGCUUCAAGGAACUAUUGGAGAACCCUGUCUUUGACAGGAUACGAUCGGAAUUUCCUGCCGCCCUCAGCAAGAUCUUCCCCGUGAAGGGUGAUGUGGGCCUGCCGGAGCUCGGGCUCCAACCCGCGGACAAGGAUCUCUUGAUCCAGAGAGUUAAUAUCGUCUUUCAUAGCGCGGCCACGGUGCGCUUUGACGAGCCGCUAAAAGUGGCGGUUAAUCUCAACACACGGGGCACGGAUCGCAUGUUGGAUUUAUGCAAGCGCAUGACGAACCUCAUCAGCGUCAUUCACGUCAGCACAGCCUACAGUAAUGCCGAUCGACGAGAAAUCGGAGAGUUGAUAUACACCACACAGGUGAAACCGUACACGGUGAUCGACAUGUGCGAAAAUUUAGAUGACGAGACGAUAGAAAUAAUAGAGAAGAGAUUGAUCGGCAAGCAUCCCAACACGUAUACUUUGACCAAGGGUCUGGCGGAGCAGAUCGUAAUGUCUAAAGGAAAGGGUCUACCGAUUGCGAUCGUACGACCAAGUAUCGUCUGUGCUGCGUAUCAGGAACCAUUUCCGGGCUGGAUAGACAACGUCUGCGGUAUUACAGGUAUAAUGACGGAGAUAGGUAGAGGCACCAUUCGAAGUAUCGUGUGUGACGCAAACUUAGUAGUAGACGUUGUACCUGUCGAUUUCGUGGUCGAUACAUUGAUCUGCGCGUCCUGGCAUAAUGUCAUGCAACAUACAGAUGUGAUUAAGAUUUAUAAUUGCACCAGCAGCGUGGUGCAUCCUAUCACAUGGCGCGAAUUUGGAUAUCUCACGAGAAAACAUGCUAUAGAAUCCCCGUCAAAGUACGUGAUGUGGUAUCCGGAUUUCACGUUUAGGACAAAUAAAUUUAUUCAUGCUAUCAUGGUAGCUACAUUGCACUUUUUGCCCGCGUUCAUCGUAGACCUUAUAUUAAGGGUACAAGGCUGCAAACCAAUAAUGAUGAAAAUUACCAAACGAUUCGAGCGCGCCGCUAAAACCGGCGAGUUCUUCGCGAUGAAUGAAUGGAAAUUUUACGCGGAGAAUAUGACGAAGCUGGUGAAAUUUGUGAAAGCGUCGGAAGGCUGUAAUGAUUUCAAUGUAGAUAUCAAAAGUUUAGAUUGGGAUACGUAUUUGCAUCAGUACAUGCUAGGAAUUAGAAAAUAUAUUUUGAAGGACAAUCCAGAUACGUUAAAUAAAGCUCGGAACCGUUUAUCGAGGUUGUAUUGGAUGCACAAGCUAUCCAAAGUAUUCAGCAUAUUCGUGUUACUAGGAAUGAUCAAAUGUGCCGGUCGGUGAUGUCAUCGAAAAUUCUUCGAACGCUUCCGGAUCGGGAUUUGCGUGAACCGAAACGCGCUGCAAAAGUAUUACGGAAAAAGAUAUUUUAGGAGGGGAAUGUAACUCAUACUUACAUCUCGAAAACUAACUUUUGUGUCAAGAGAGUACUAAUAUAUGAUAUAUAUAAUGGAGAGUACUAAUUAAAUCUCAAAUAAUUGUAACUUCAAGGUUGCGGAUAUAUCUGAGAAUUCAAGCUGUAGAUUUUUCACUAAUCGCUAUGCAUCGUUUCUUCUACCUGUAAAUUGUGUUUAACUAGUUCUGAUUCAAUCUUUUUGCUUCGAACUUUAUGAUAUCGAGAUAUCACGGCGGAACGAUUUUCCCCGAACGUUAUUGGAUCAGUUACAUAUCAUAUUAUUACAGCAUACGCGAAUUAAAUUUUAUACGGCACAAUAGCCGAAGUUUUAUGAUACACGACACUUUACAUUUGCAAAGACUGACUUCAAAUGAAAUAUUCUAAAAAUAAUACAAACCAGAGGACCUAUACUGUGUUGCCUUAUUAAGAUCAAUAUCAUGAAUAUGAAUAUCGAUAUUAAUACAAAUUUAUUUUUGCUAAUCCAAAUAUACUCUUAUAGUAAUGAUGAUCGAAUAAAUCAAUAAAUUCUAUUGUAUCACACUUAUAUACAACUUAUAUACAAACACAUAACACACACACACACACACACACACACACACACACUCUUAGAUUUACACAUACGCGGGAAUGCGAAUGAAGUAGUUAAUAUUCAUUCCUUUGCGAAAAAUAAAACUGGGGAACUGUAAACGGCUGUGACAUAAAACGAUCACGCAUGAGAGCUCGUUACAGCUCGCGUUGACUAAUUACAGAGCUGAUAAAACAAACGCGGCAGCUAGAAACUCUAAACAAAUAUGGGGUUGUAAAAUUUUAUGUAUAUCUGUAAUACGAUGAACGAAGUAGUAAAUGUGUAUCCAGUGUGUAUAUAUUUGCAGUUGAAUUCCGAUAUAGGAUAUUAUGUACAGAUUAUUUAUCGAGACGACAUCCCUCGAGAACUCAUAAAUAGUUUUUCUGUGUAUUUCUUAUUUUAAAAGUCCAUUCUCGCACGUAACUGAAAUUAUAUAUGGCCAUUAUUACACAGAAGAUUGUUAAAAAAGAAAUUUACAAAAAACUUUAUCUGUUUAAAUAUCAAAUAUAUUUACGGCAUGUAAUGUUGUAAGAAUGACAAUAUUACAAAUUUUAUUAAUUCUCAAGACUAAUGUUUAAUGUAUAGCAAGUAUAUUAUUGAGCAUAAAACUGUUUAAGCACAUAACUAUAUUUUUUCGCGUAAUAAUGUACCAUAAUUAACUCUCGGCAAACUAAUGGAAUACACUAUUAUUAUUAAUGAGCGAUUUCAUAUCUACGUUUUUAUAUAAAUCAAUGUAUAUUGUAUACUUUUAUCAAGUAUCAAACAUAUACAAGACAGAUUUAUAAUUACAUAAAAGAUAUUUGUAAA
rnacentral:misc_RNA from 1 species